rnacentral:snRNA from 1 species
GGCGAGAGUAGUACUAGGA